GGAAAUGUAGUUCAGUGGUAAAACACUUGCCUAGAAUGCAUGAAACUAUGGGCUCAAUCCCCAGCAUUUUCA
rfam:Ictidomys tridecemlineatus contig051990, whole genome shotgun sequence.